CCUACGGGUGGCAGCAGUGAGGAAUAUUGGUCAAUGGGCGCGAGCCUGAACCAGCCAAGUAGCGUGAAGGAUGACUGCCCUACGGGUUGUAAACUUCUUUUAUAAAGGAAUAAAGUGAUGCACGUGUGCCUUUUUGUAUGUACUUUAUGAAUAAGGAUCGGCUAACUCCGUGCCAGCAGCCGCGGUAAUACGGAGGAUCCGAGCGUUAUCCGGAUUUAGUGGGUUUAAAGUGAGGCUAGAUGGGUUGUUAAGUCAGUUGUGAAAGUUUGCGGCUCACCCGUAAAAUUGCAAUGGAUACUGGCAGUCUUGAGUACAGUGGAGGUAGGCGGAAUUCGUGGUGUAGCGGUGAAAUGCUUAGAUAUCACGAAGAACUCCGAUUGCGAAGGCAGCUUACUAAACUGCCACUGACAUUGAUGCUCGAAAGUGUGGGUAUCAAACAGGAUUAGAUACCCCUGUAGUC
rnacentral:rRNA from 1 species